UGCAUCGGCCGAGAAUCGAACCCCGGCCGCCCGCGUGGCAGGCGAGCAUUCUACCACUGAACCACCGAUGG
rnacentral:tRNA from 1 species